UGAAUAUUCGACAAAACAAAAUGUUCGCAGCCUUCUGCAAGAUAACCUUUUGACAAAGAAGACACCACUUCGAUGAGAGUGAAAGUUUUUUUCGCAUAUAAACGGAGAACUGAGAGGGAUUGACAAGAAAAUUUAGGGCAAACAAGCAUGGUGCGACUCCAAACCAGCAUUGAACUUGUUCGUUGUUUGCUUGUGAAGGAGGACGAUUUCUUUCCCUUUUUCCUUUGAUUGGGCGGGAUUAACAAAGAAAUCUUCGAGCCUUGUUCGUUCGAACAGGAGAAGAGAAGGUUUUCUAUUGUUCUGCAUCAAUAAAAAAUCUACUGAGAACUACAUCAAAGUCAAGAAGAUAUACCAGGAGCUCAAAGAUAAAUUUCAACCACCUCAUCUAGUUCCAAGGAAUGAACAGUUCACAGCACAGGCAUCACUCUGCAGCUUGUGUGAACAGUUCAUAGUAGAAGCAUUGUACUAUCUUGGUACAAACAAGACUCAAGCAGAGAUCAUGGAUAUCCUCCAUGGGACAUGUUCCAAGAUGGAAGCCUUCUAUCCGCAGAACCACUAGGGCCAAGCAUACCAAAGCAUUCACCUUGGAGUACAGCAAGAGAUAGACUUUGGACUGCAUGCCUCCUAUAGUUUCCAUCUUGUCUGAUGUAAACUUUCUUUAAGUUAUGGCAAAAGUUUGGGUAACUUCCAUCUGGUUCCUUCAUUAGUUGUUGAACUUUAUAUCUCUACAAAGGAAGGAAGAAAGAUGGUAUAUUAAAAUGUAAGACAGAUUCGUUGUCAAUCCUAUUUCCUGGUUAUUACAGAGAAGCUUUGAACAUC